rnacentral:lncRNA from 1 species
UUUUGGUAUGUACUUGACCCGAUGGUGCAUGGUCCUUUUGGGUUGCCUUCACCAAAGCAACUUGAUUGGAGAAAUAAAUAGAGAGAGAAGUUAUUAUGAUUUAUUAAUAUGUUAUAAGAAUAAUAUAUUAAAGGAGAAAUCAUAUUUGUUUAAUUAAUAUUGGUCAAUAAUUAAUUAAGUAUUAAUUUUGUGAUCAAAUGUAAUUAAUUAAACUAGAGGGGCUGAAUUGUAAUUAUGUGAUAGUUGCAAUAUAGGGCAAUGGUUAUCCUUGUUGAAGGAUGGACGAAUUCAAGGAUAAGGAUAUCCUUAAAAUCGUUCAAGGUCCAAGAGAUAGGGAUUUUCAAGGCUUAUUUUAUGGUUGCUUGAUGGGCAAGUAACUAGAUAAGGAUCAGGACUGAAACCCUAAUUCCAACCCUAUAUAAAGACCCCUAAGGCCUUAGGAUUUCGUGCACUUGAUCCCUAGAGCAUCUAAGGACGAAUUUCUACCUCUCUCCUCUCUCUUUAUACCUUCUCCACUUGCUUAUGGUGUUUGUAAGCCAUUAGAGGAGUGAUACUUGUGACUCUAAGCCUUCCAAAGUCAAUUCAAGGAGAUUUGGGAUUGUUAUUGCUACAUAACAAUCAAGGUAAUAUCUUAAACCUAAUUAUAUGUUAAUAUUGAUUUCCAUAUGCUAGAAUUAGGGUUUAUAGUCUUGGAUUCAAAGCAUGUACAAUAGAGAAACCUAGAUCCAAGCAUUAGGGUUUGUAUGAGCACAUAGGAUGUCUUAUGACCAAAACCCAUCAGUGGUAUCAGAGCCUAGCUUGGUUUCAAUUGUAUUGAUGCAUUGUAUAACUGGAAAAUUCGUUUUUUGGGUUUCUGGAGGCUGGACUCGCCGAGUCCAUGGCUGAACUCGCCGAGUCCAAGGUGACUCGACGAGUCCAAGGCUGACUCGACGAGUCAACUCGUCAGAUGGAGGGUACUUCGGGAUUUCUUGCUGUUUUUGCUUAUGGAUAGUUACCUUAUCAUGUUAGAUCAAUAUUAAUCCGAUUAUAUGAUAUAUUUGACUAUAUUUUUGAUCUAAUUGAAGAUAUUUAUCAAUUAAUAAGAUAAUUGUUUCCUUAUGUGAUAAUUGAUUAAUUAUUUUGACUAAAUUGAUAAAUUGUUUUGCAAGAAAUCAUUAAAUAAAUCAAAUAUGGAUAAUUAUGUGAUUAAAUGUUAAUUUAGAUUAUUUGUUAUUUGAUCCUUGUUGUUAUGAAAAGUUUCAUAUUUUCCCCUUUAGGUUUUAUAGUUUAAAUUUGACCCCAAAAGUUUUGUUGUUUUGAAAUUUAAAUAGUUGAAACCCUAAUGUUUUGAAAAAGGUUUCAAAACUUGCCCUCAAGUUUUGGAAUUUAAAUUUUGAUUAAAUAGUUUAAUUUUGAUGUAUAUUUAAAUUCUAAACCCUAAUGUGUUGAAAUGUUUCAAAACUUGCCCUCAAGUUUUGGAAUUUAAAAGUUGAUUAAAAGUUUAAUUAGGAAUGUUAAAUUCUAAAACUCUAGUAUAGUUUUGAAAAAGUUCAAAUCACACCCUUAUGGUUUUAUUAAUUAAUUAAGGUGUAUAAUUAAAAGAGGUUUAAUAAAUCCAUAAAAGUUUAGGUUUACAAUUUAAUUGAAUUAAAAGUAUAAUUGUUAAAUUUGACCACCUAGUAUUUUAAAAGUGUAAAAUACACCCUAUACUAUAUAUAACAUUAAAAGUCUAACAUUAUAUAUAUGUAUGAGUAAAAGUCAGUCUUACCGUUAGUAGGCCUCAUUCACGAAGCUGGUCUAUAAGGGGUGUUUAAGGAAAUUGCCUAUAAAAUGGCGAUUGAAUGGGUAUCCACUCUUACCCACCGCACUCUUGACUAGUGGAGGGUCGUUAGCCGAACGGGUAGGAUAGGACGAAACCUUCCAUUAUAAGUAUAAUGAAGUAUAAAAGUAACUAAAUGUUUUCAUAAAAUUCCCAAUCUUAGUUACUUAGGCAAAAGUGAAUUGAUGCAAUUCCAUGAAAUUACACUUUGUGCCCUUGCGAAGACGUUAGUGGAGCGUGUGUGGUUUACCGGCACACUAAAUGGUUCUAAGCAAAGGUAGCAAAGGGUGACUCAAUGUUUGUCAUAGUUCGGUGGAGCGUGUGUGGUUUACCGGCACAUCGAAUAGGUGACUGUAACAUGUGAGGGCACCAUGUAAGUUUGCAUGGUUAUUCACACCCGCUUUGUGAUCCUCGGCAUCCCAGUCACAAACAAGAGGGGCAUAUCGAGAUUUAAACAUGCCAUUGAAAUGUUCAAUGAAUCUCAAAGGAUCUAGGAGUUUUCAUAGAUUUAAAACUUAAAUUUCUUUUUCGUUUUUCAUGGUGGAAAUUAGUGAAUCGUCAUUCACUUACCUUCAAAUGUUCUGCAAUUUGGGUUACGGCAUCCCUCUCCCGAGUUGUAGAAUAUUGUGUUGGGUCCUAGCCUUAGUAUCUCAUUUGGGUGAUUUACUAAGGACUCAAUCAAUCAACUAACUUGAAUUCGUUUUCUCCCGUUUUGUAGAUGUCAAAGUUCGACAACUAUGGUCUUCCCAAAUCCCGUGGAACAAGCAUUCCACAUGAAGAUGAUAUUCCACGAUUCGAUCGAGGAACAAGAAAUCAUGCUUCACUUCCUCCACCUCCUCCAAUUAUUCUCCCUAACCCACAAGUUCAAAGGCUUGAAAAGUUCAAGAUCACUCAAGCCCUUUUGGCAAGUAAACAUAAAGAAGGAAAGUCGGUGUGUGCACACGUCCUAGGGAUGAAGUCACACAUUGAUAGGUUAAGAAUGUUGGGAUCCGUUGUCUGUGAGGAAAUGGCUGUUGAUUGGGUUCUUCAGUCACUUCCUAACUCAUAUAGUGAGUUCGUAAGAGAGUACUAUAUGAUGAACCGCGACGUGACCCUUAUAGAUCUCACCUAUAUGCUUAUUGCUGCUGAAUCAGCAAUGGUUUGGCGCAAUAGAAAAGCAAAGUUGAUUGGUGAAUCUGCCUUCAAGACCUCUAUGGAUAUAGACAAUGGCAACGAAAGACAUGCUAUGAUCGAAAAGUUUGAUCAUAAGAGAAAGGCAAUGUCUGAAGUAGUUCCAUGUCAUGUUCCAAAAGAGUCAAUUUGCUUUUAUUGCCAAGAGAAAGGGCAUUGGAGACGAAGCUGCCCCAUUUACCUAAGAGAUCUAAGAGAUGGGAGAGUCGAAACGUAUGGCUCUAAUAUAGGUAAAAUCCAUUAACUAACUCUUUUAAGCUUCUAUUCUAGAUUCUUAAUACAUAAUGUGAUAAGAUUACAAUUGAUGUUUUGUAGGAUCGAAGAAAAGAAAGGAAGCUUAAGGGAAGAAGUGAGCAGAAUCUAACCGUGAAGGAAUGGAUUUCGAUCGCAUUUCUCAAAGAUUAGAUUCUUGAGCUACUACUUAGAGUUAGAAUUAGAUUGCUAAGAAAGAUGUAUUAGCAUAAGUUUUUCAAUGAGUUGCAUUGUAAGGACAAAUUUUUCCGCAAUAAAAUAAAUUUUGAUUUUAAAUUUUAUUUAUUUAUCCUUACAAUGGCGUGUAUGAAAAAUUGAUGUUAAAAUGUUUCUAUUAUUAGCAAUAAUGGAUUUGGUUCUUAUUAUGUUAUUUAUGGAAAGUCGAGAAUUUACCAAAUAGGGAGAGUUUCUCAUCGCCCAAGUUUCAAUUGGACAGAAACUUGGAAUCAUGCAACUUGGUUGCACGAUGAAUGAGAAAUUUCAUAUUUGGAAAUUAGACUAAUUCAUUGACAAAGUGUCAAGUGAAGGACUAGGAGAUCGAGUACACAAAGUUGCGUGUUGAUCAAGUCCACCAUAAGAGUAACAAAGAUAUUCGUCAUGAUUUACUAAAGGUUUAGUAAAUAUGAUUAUACUUAUAAGAUUAAGUGUAAUUCUGAAUUGAUUGAAAAGGUUUAAAUCAAUAGCAGAACGAAUAAGAAGAAUCAAGUAGGCAGAAAGAUAAAAGUUUCUCCAUUCUAAGAAGAAGGGAGAGUACCUUUUAUGCUUUAUGAUAGGUCUUAAUGAUUAAGAACCAUAUCUCAAUUGAUCCUCUAAGUGAGUCUUAGUACAAUUGUAUGUCUAAGAAGAGGAAUCAAGAAUUGAAGAAAUGGUUAAAUCAAUAAGUCAAUCAUACUUCGUUCCAAUAACAAGUCUUAAAGUUAAGAUUGUGACAUUGAGUGAAAGGUAUUAAGAAGGUUUGUAACUUUCAUUAAAUGUGGAAAGUUGUGAUGUCUUGGAUAAGACAAAGACCAACUAGGACCAAUUUAUGAAGUGUUUUGAUAAAAGCUACACUAACUCUUGAAUAUUUGUUUGUCAAGAAAUGUUUUUUGACAAGAGAAUCUUAUAUGUCAAGGAGUCAGUGGGAGUCUUAAUGGUCUUGAAAGGUUUCAAGAACAAAUCAAAUAAACCUUAUCGAUCAUCACUAGCACACGAGUUGAGGUUUACAACCUAUCGUGUUGACAUUAUUUUGAUUCUGUGCCAAUCCAAUCGAGUUAAUUAUGCAUGUGAGUUCUAUGAGUUCUCAUUUUGAACGCAUAAAAGGCAAAGCACCUUAAUCAAUGAAAGGUACAUUGAUAGGAAAGGGUGAGCUGCUUAACUACUUGGAAGACAUGGUGGGCAGCUGUGCUACCAUAAAGGCAAGAAAUCGAGAUCAAGAAAGUUCGAUCCAUAAGAGUUUGAAUUUGUCGUAAACUUUGGUUUUGACAAAUUCACAUGGAUAGGAACAAAUACACCGUUUAAAUCUAAGUGUCAUAAGAUUUCCUCCUUCAUGAAAAUGAUUGUGAGGAAAUGCUUUCACUAAGACAGAUUUUAAGAAGAUAGUGAUUGUAAAAUUGCAUUCUCGAAUUCAAUUAUGGUUACGGCAUCCCUUUCCAUAAUUUGAAUUGUGAGGUUUGGCAAUUAGUCUUAAUUGUUUAGACACACAUAUGAACUAUCGAAGGCAAAUGUGUAUAAGUUCAAGAAACCUUGAUAAAAGAUUAUCAAAGCACUAAGUAUUAGAAACAUGAACUUAAGAAAUUCAAUAAGCAUUUUUUUUCUGAAAGUUAAGAUGUUUAUGAAUACAUGUCGAAGCUAGUGGGAGCAUAAGUGUUAUGUUUUAUAAUAAUCAUCAAGAUAGUGGGAGCAUAAAAGUUAUGAUUGUAUGAUUAUUAAGGAAAGUAUUGCAAGGUUAGCAAUAUUAAUUAUAGAAAACAAGAGUCAUACUUUGCAAAGUCGCAAUAGUUGAAGAGUUGUUUUGCUAUAAUUAAGGGAGAGAAUAUUAUGCUUCAUUUCAAAUCUAAAGGUUUAGGUUGAGAAAUGUUAAUAAAAUUUAGUCAAAGGUACAAAGUGUGUUCUUAAAAUUUCGAUUAUGAUUACGGCAUCCCUCUUCACAAUUCGAAUUUUGAGAACAUAGCAAAUAAAACAUUAUGCGUCGUGUCCCAUACGCUUCGGGUAUAGGAUCGAUUGCAAAUGCUUUAAUGUUUGACCAUUCUAAAAUUUUCCAAAUGUCGAGCGCAUUUAGAGGGAAAAGGGACUAGAAUUGGUUUUGACUAAAAUAAUUAAACAACUAUCAAAGGACAAUCCAAAGUUCGACGAGGAUUGGUCGCUUGUGAGUAGUUGGAAGUAUAGUAUUGGAAAAUAUGGAAAUGUUUCCAUAUUGGAUGGACCAUAUCGACAUCAUUACGAAUAGAUAAGAUUCUAUUAAGAAUGAGUUGUCAUAUGGAACAUAUGGAAGUGUGUCCAUAUUGGGAAUUGAAUAUUGAGAAAUCUAUGACUAGAUUAGAAACUUCUAUGCAAAAGGAUGUUCAAAGAAUGUACUUUGAGUGAGAGACAUCACAUCUAUGGAAUUGUCUUGUAACAAUCUCCGAUAGAGGACUUUGUAAUAUCAUUGGCAAUAGUCUUUGUGACUUUGGUGCAGUGACAUUACGAAAGGAUAGUUGCAUAAAAUGUUAGAAUCUAGCAUAUUCUAUAAGUAGCAAGAAUUUGAUAUUCUUACACUUAUGAAAAAGGAUUUGGAGUUGUGAAAUGAGAAUGAUUGGAAAUGUGUUCAAUGUGAUCUAUUUCACAAAGUAAGAACCAUAGGUAAACAUUGUGUGCAUGCUAGGAGCAUGGGACAAGUGUUGUAAUUCAAGUAAGAAGUUGAUUACCCGAAACGACAAAUAAUGAGUAAUCAAUAUGGUGAUAAAUAAAAGGUGUUUUAUUUAUACUCAAAGGUUUGAGGCCAUAUGGGAUUAGUAUUAUUCUUGUGUUUCACAUUUGCAUGUUUUGACUUCCAGAAUAAUUGAGUUUAUUAAGAAUAAUCGAAUUAUUCGAACGGGCCACAGUCGUUCAUAUGUUGGAAGUAGAUAUGAAUGAAGACUGUCGUGAAUUGGUGUGUGGAUUGUCUAAAAGAGUAUUAGACAUAAGCAAAUGUUUGCUGCAACGUUCAUGAGUGCUUAUGAAUAUGAUUUGAGCAUUGGAUUAAACCCACGCUCACUUGGAUCACUCCAUGAAUUGUAUCACGAGUGAUUGGUGAGACGAUAACAUCUUAUAUUCUUGAAACCGAGAUGUGUGAGUUGUAUCUUGCAAAUCGGUUGCACAUUGAUAAUAUGUAAACGCACUAGUAACUUGGUGUUAUAAAACAUAUUGUUGUGUGUGAUUCGGUGAGUGAGUGCAAGCAAGCAUUGUAUCAAAGUUUAUCCGUUCCUUUUAUCCAAAGUAGGAUAAAAGCGAUAUCUUUGGGCCCCUCGAUGAUUUAGUGAUGACAAACGUAAAUGCUCGGCCGGGCUAGGGCUAAUUUGAUUUGUUCAAUUAGUCAGUCGUCAUAAAUCGGGAAUCGAGAUAUAGUACAAAGAGAAUGAUUUGAAAUCAUAUCUCAUAUGAUAUCUAGAAUGGAGGAAUAUAUGAUCCCUUAUCUAAGGACACGCGUAUCUGAUAUGAUCAGAGUUGACAGCGGCUUUGGAAAGCUACGAUUGCAGAUCAGGAUCUGAAGUCAUACGCAGAAUAGUUAUUAGACUUAUCCAAGUGGGAGACUGUUGGAUUAGUGUCUAAGUCCAUAACUAUUUUGGUAUGUACUUGACCCGAUGGUGCAUGGUCCUUUUGGGUUGCCUUCACCAAAGCAACUUGAUUGGAGAAAUAAAUAGAGAGAGAGGUUAUUAUGAUUUAUUAAUAUGUUAUAAGAAUAAUAUAUUAAAGGAGAAAUCAUAUUUGUUUAAUUAAUAUUGGUCAAUAAUUAAUUAAGAAUUAAUUUUGUGAUCAAAUGUAAUUAAUUAAACUAGAGGGGCUGAAUUGUAAUUAUGUGAUAGUUGCAAAAUAGGGCAAUGGUUAUCCUUGUUGAAGGAUGGACGAAUUCAAGGAUAAGGAUAUCCUUAAAAUCGUUCAAGGUCCAAGAGAUAGGGAUUUUCAAGGCUUAUCUUAUGGUUGCUUGAUGGGCAAGUAACUAGAUAAGGAUAAGGACUGAAACCCUAAUCCCAACCCUAUAUAAAGACCCCUAAGGCCUUAGGAUUUCGUGCACUUGAUCCCUAGAGCAUCUAAGGACGAAUUUCUACCU